rnacentral:lncRNA from 12 species
CUCCAGAGGGGCUCGGAUCUGGGUACAGAAAUAGCAAUGCCUUGCACAAAGGGCAGCUGAUGUUGUUGGGAAAGGAGGAGAAGUGGCUGAUCAAGCUCAUGGACAGGGAAUAUCUUCGUGUGGCAGCGCCAACACCAAUCCCGGGGAAUUUGGAGAAAUGAAGGGGGAAGGAGGUGACCUGCAGGAGGAGGAUUUGGGGACAGGAGGUGACCUGCAGGUCUGGCACAUCCCUGUGGGGAUGGAAAAACCUCCCUUCUCAUUAACACCAUCCUUUAAGGCAGCUGCCACCAAGCACCCGGAUUUCUGUGUGGUCACCUUGGUUUUCA